GUCCAUCUUUGUUCAUCAUAGCUGAAAGUUAGAGAAGAGAAAGGAGAGGAGAAAGCUCUUGAGUAUUCGGUCAUUAGGAGGAGGAAAAUUGAAGGAAAUCCCUUACCCAUAGUGGGCUUGGAGCUGUGAGGGAAUUCGGAGUGGCCACCCGUUCUGAAAGUUUGAUUUUCUUCUGGUGAACUGGACAUCCUUUUAUUUACGUUUGAAGUUUUUGGGCUUUUAAAUGUAAUAAGGCCGCUUAAUUAUUUUUGAUGGUUUUAA